rnacentral:lncRNA from 1 species
GGCUGGGACGUUUUCUUGGAUUUAGGGGCAACAGGCUUUUUACUAGUUGUCAAACUGUUUAUGUCAUCUGUAAGUUUGGUUUUGUCAUCUGCCACCUUUUUUCUCUUGGGACUGAAGGUAACAUCUUGUUCGAAAUUUUCUUUACUUUUUUCUGUUGACUUCGGCUUUCUCUUGCCAACCUUUUUCUCUGUUAUCGACAUUUCAAACAAUCUCUCAGGUGUAUUUGGUGUAGCUGCCCCAUCUGCCUCGAGUUUCUUGAUGGCAGUGUUUGCUCUCUUAGCAAAGCUAUCGAUAACAUCUUCGUUUUCUGUAACAAAGCAAAGAUAAACCAAAUGUAAACAGGAAGUUAUAUUUCGCAUGCGCAUUGGCUUAAAUGUUAAUUGGGGAUCCGGCGGUAUUUUUAAAUUAUAAUCAUGCGGUAAUAGUAAAUUGCCUAGAUGAAGACUGUUAACUCAAGUUAUAGAAUAUCAAAAUAAAAUCAGC